CCGGGUUGCGGACAGUGUCUGGUGGGUAGUUUGACUGGGGCGGUCUCCUCCCAAAGAGUAACGGAGGAGCACGAAGGUUAGCUAAUCCUGGUCGGACAUCAGGAGGUUAGUGCAAUGGCAUAAGCUAGCUUGACUGCGAGAGUGACGGCUCGAGCAGGUGCGAAAGCAGGUCAUAGUGAUCCGGUGGUUCUGAAUGGAAGGGCCAUCGCUCAACGGAUAAAAGGUACUCCGGGGAUAACAGGCUGAUACCGCCCAAGAGUUCAUAUCGACGGCGGUGUUUGGCACCUCGAUGUCGGCUCAUCACAUCCUGGGGCUGAAGUAGGUCCCAAGGGUAUGGCUGUUCGCCAUUUAAAGUGGUACGCGAGCUGGGUUUAGAACGUCGUGAGACAGUUCGGUCCCUAUCUGCCGUGGGCGCUGGAGAAUUGAGGGGGGCUGCUCCUAGUACGAGAGGACCGGAGUGGACGCAUCACUGGUGUUCGGGUUGUCAUGCCAAUGGCACUGCCCGGUAGCUAAAUGCGGAAGAGAUAAGUGCUGAAAGCAUCUAAGCACGAAACUUGCCCCGAGAUGAGUUCUCCCUGAGACUUCAAGUCUCCUGAAGGAACGUUGAAGACGACGACGUUGAUAGGUCGGGUGUGUAAGCGCAGCGAUGCGUUGAGCUAACCGAUACUAAUGAACCGUGAGGCUUAACCUU
rnacentral:rRNA from 1 species